rnacentral:rRNA from 1 species
UACGUAGGGGGCAAGCGUUGUCCGGAUUUAUUGGGCGUAAAGAGCGUGUAGGCGGUCAGGUAGGUCCGUUGUGAAAACUCGAGGCUCAACCUCGAGACGCCGAUGGAAACCAUCUGACUAGAGUCCGGAAGAGGAGAGUGGAAUUCCUGGUGUAGCGGUGAAAUGCGCAGAUAUCAGGAAGAACACCCGUGGCUAAGGCGACUCUCUAGUACGGUACUGACGCUGAGACGCGAAAGCGUGGGGAGCGAACAGG